CCUUGAAAUACCACCCUUUAAUGUUUGAUGUUCUAACGUUGACCCGUAAUCCGGGUUGCGGACAGUGUCUGGUGGGUAGUUUGACUGGGGCGGUCUCCUCCUAAAGAGUAACGGAGGAGCACGAAGGUUGGCUAAUCCUGGUCGGACAUCAGGAGGUUAGUGCAAUGGCAUAAGCCAGCUUGACUGCGAGCGUGACGGCGCGAGCAGGUGCGAAAGCAGGUCAUAGUGAUCCGGUGGUUCUGAAUGGAAGGGCCAUCGCUCAACGGAUAAAAGGUACUCCGGGGAUAACAGGCUGAUACCGCCCAAGAGUUCAUAUCGACGGCGGUGUUUGGCACCUCGAUGUCGGCUCAUCACAUCCUGGGGCUGAAGUAGGUCCCAAGGGUAUGGCUGUUCGCCAUUUAAAGUGGUACGCGAGCUGGGUUUAGAACGUCGUGAGACAGUUCGGUCCCUAUCUGCCGUGGGCGCUGGAGAACUGAGGGGGGCUGCUCCUAGUACGAGAGGACCGGAGUGGACGCAUCACUGGUGUUCGGGUUGUCAUGCCAAUGGCACUGCCCGGUAGCUAAAUGCGGAAGAGAUAAGUGCUGAAAGCAUCUAAGCACGAAACUUGCCCCGAGAUGAGUUCUCCCUGACUCCUUGAGAGUCCUGAAGGAACGUUGAAGACGACGACGUUGAUAGGCCGGGUGUGUAAGCGCAGCGAUGCGUUGAGCUAACCGGUACUAAUGAACCGUGAGGCUUAACCUUACAACGCCGAAG
rnacentral:rRNA from 1 species